AUGAGCAGAAGUCUGGAAAGAAGUGCUAAAGAAGAAACUUCUGCAGCUGGCCAUCUUCAGGAACUAACCCAUCUGUCACUGCAGAAUACCGAGAACUGGGAUCUAGACAAGACUUCUGCAGAGCUGAAGCAGCAGAAAAAUACACAUAACACUCAUGCAGAAGUUGCCUUCUCCUCAACAGAUUAUGAGACCUUCAGAGGUAGAUCUGAAAAGCAGCUCAUGGAACAAUUAGAAGAGCUGUGUGACAGGCAAUCCAGGACAUUGUCUUUACGCUGCAGGUGGCCAUCAGCCAAAAUCUCCAUUCAAGAAGA